AAGAACCAGAUCCUAUACCACCAGUGAUUGACUGAUUGAUUUAAUAUUCAUUUAUUUAGAUGAUUAGAUUUAUAUGCCACCCUGCAAGAGGCUCAGGGAGUCUCCAGUUGCCACCAUUUUAGGAUAAGCAGGAUUAAGGAAGGAGCUUUGCCAGCACACGAGGGAGGGAGUGUCAAGGAGAGGAUCACACAACACAGCAAGCCGUGUGACCUCUUGGAUACGCAGACUCAGCUCUGGCUCAGCCUAGCACAUACCUAUCUGAGGAUGAAAUGAACUCCAAUACAGGGACCCACACAAAGACAUCUGAGAACAGAAUUUGGCUUUGGGUAAGGGAGGAAAAGGGCAUGCUGAGAGAUGCUCCAGACAGCAGAAGCCAGCAGGUUUACAGACUGCUUAUGAAUGAGGCUUGCUGAGAGACACUCAGGGAAGGGGCAAGAGCUUGACUGAAAAGGCCCUGAGGCAGCAACUUGCUAGAGGACCAUAGGUUGCUGAGCCUUAGUUUAGAAGCAUUAAACUCACUUAGAGAACAAGCAGAACCAAACACAAAGCUCCAACUGUAAAUUAAAAAUCCAAACAGUUAAAGAUUUUUGACUACAGCAUAGUCAU
rnacentral:lncRNA from 1 species